rnacentral:rRNA from 1 species
GAAGACCAAGGGUUCCUGUCCAACGUUAAUCGGGGCAGGGUAAGUCGACCCCUAAGGCGAGGCCGAAAGGCGUAGUCGAUGGGAAACGGGUUAAUAUUCCCGUACUUCUUACAAUUGCGAUGGGGGGACGGAGAAGGCUAGGUGGGCCUGGCGACGGUUGUCCAGGUUCAAGUGCGUAGGCUUAAGAGUUAGGUAAAUCCGGCUCUUUUUAAGGCUGAGACACGACGUCGAGCACCUACGGGUGUGAAGUCAUUGAUGCCAUGCUUCCAGGAAAAGCCUCUAAGCUUCAGAUUGUAAGGAAUCGUACCCCAAACCGACACAGGUGGUCGGGUAGAGAAUACCAAGGCGCUUGAGAGAACUCGGGUGAAGGAACUAGGCAAAAUGGUACCGUAACUUCGGGAGAAGGUACGCUCUCGACGGUGAAGUCCCUCGCGGAUGGAGCUAUUGAGAGUCGCAGAUACCAGGUGGCUGCAACUGUUUAUUAAAAACACAGCACUGUGCAAAAUCGUAAGAUGACGUAUACGGUGUGACGCCUGCCCGGUGCCGGAAGGUUAAUUGAUGGGGUUAGACUUCGGUCGAAGCUCUUGAUCGAAGCCCCGGUAAACGGCGGCCGUAACUAUAACGGUCC